rnacentral:rRNA from 1 species
AGCAGCCGCGGUAAUUCCAGCUCCAAUAGCGUAUAUUAAAGUUGUUGCAGUUAAAAAGCUCGUAGUUGAAUUUCGGGGUUAGUAGGUUGGUCAUGCCUCUGGUAUGUACUGGUCUCACUGAUUCCUCCUUCCUGAUGAAUCUUAAUGCCAUUAAUUUGGUGUUUUGGGGAAUUUGGACUGUUACUUUGAAAAAUUAGAGUGUUUAAAGCAAGCUAACGCUUGAAUACAUUAGCAUGGAAUAAUGAAAUAGGACGUUCGAUCCUAUUUUGUUGGUUUCUAGGAUUGACGUAAUGAUUAAUAGGGAUAGUUGGGGGCAUUAGUAUUCAAUUGUCAGAGGUGAAAUUCUUGGAUUUAUUGAAGACUAACUACUGCGAAAGCAUUUGCCAAGGAUGUUUUCAUUAAUCAAGAACGAAAGUUAGGGGAUCGAAGACGAUCAGAUACCGUCGUAGUCUUAACCAUAAACUAAUGCCGACUAGGGAUCGGAUGAUGUUAAUUUUUAAUGUACUCAUUC